rnacentral:rRNA from 1 species
CCUACGGGAGACAGCAGUGGGGAAUAUUGCACAAUGGGGGAAACCCUGAUGCAGCGACGCCGCGUGACGGAAGAAGUAUUUAGGUAUGUAAACUUCUAUCAGCAGGGGAGAAAAUGACGGUACCUGACUAAGAAGCCCCGGCUAACUUCGUGCCAGCAGCAGCGGUAAGACGUAGGGGGCCAGCGUUAUCCGGAUGUACUGGGUGUAAAGGGAGCGUAGGAGGAUUAGCAAGUCAGAAGUGAAAGUCCGGGGCUCAACUCCGGGACUGCUUUUGAAACUGUUGAACUAGAUUGCAGGAGAGGUAAGUGGAAUUCCUGGUGUAGCGGUGAAAUGCUUAGAUAUUAGGAGGAACACCAGUGGCGAAGGCGGCUUACUGGACUGUAAAUGACGCUGAGGCUCGAAAGCGUGGGGAGCAAACAGGAUUAGAUACCCGGGUAGUC